rnacentral:rRNA from 1 species
GACGAACGCUGGCGGCGUGCUUAACACAUGCAAGUCGAACGGAAAGGCCCUUCGGGGUACUCGAGUGGCGAACGGGUGAGUAACACGUGGGUGAUCUGCCCUGCACUUUGGGAUAAGCCUGGGAAACUGGGUCUAAUACCGAAUAGGACCACGCGCUUCACUGUGUGUGGUGGCAAGCUUUUGCGGUGUGGGAUGGGCCCGCGGCCUAUCAGCUUGUUGGUGGGGUAAUGGCCUACCAAGGCGACGACGGGUAGCCGGCCUGAGAGGGUGACCGGCCACACUGGGACUGAGAUACGGCCCAGACUCCUACGGGAGGCAGCAGUGGGGAAUAUUGCACAAUGGGCGCAAGCCUGAUGCAGCGACGCCGCGUGAGGGAUGACGGCCUUCGGGUUGUAAACCUCUUUCGAUAGGGACGAAGCGCAAGUGACGGUACCUAUAGAAGAAGCACCGGCCAACUACGUG